UGGGGAAUAUUGCACAAUGGGGGAAACCCUGAUGCAGCGACGCCGCGUGAGUGAAGAAGUAUUUCGGUAUGUAAAGCUCUAUCAGCAGGGAAGAACAUGACGGUACCUGACUAAAGAAGCCCCGGCUAACUACGUGCCAGCAGCCGCGGUAAUACGUAGGGGGCAAGCGUUAUCCGGAUUUACUGGGUGUAAAAGGGGAGCGUAGACGGCACUACAAGUCAGAAGUGAAAGCCCGGGGCUCAACCCCGGGACUGCUUUUUGAAACUGCGGGGCUGGAGUGCAGGAGAGGUAAGCGGAAUUCCUAGUGUAGCGGUGAAAUGCGUAGAUAUUAGGAGGAACACCAGUGGCGAAAGGCGGCUUACUGGACUGUAACUGACGUUGAGGCUCGAAAAGCGUGGGGAGCAAAACAGGAUUAGAUACC
rnacentral:rRNA from 1 species